rnacentral:rRNA from 1 species
GUAGGGUGCUUGGUGUAUCAGGCGUGACUGUGGGGUAAGGAGGCGGAGGCGCACUUGAAAGUCGAGAGGGAAAGGCUACGGAGCAACGGUAUUAAGAUCGUGAAACUGGGGGACUUGAGUGCAGGAGAGGAGAGUGGACUUCCUAGUGUAGCGGUGAAAGUCGUAGAUUUUAGGAGGAACACCAGUGGCGAAGGCGGCUCUCUGGACUGUAACUGACGCUGAGGCACGAAAGCGUGGGGAGCAAACAGGAUUAGAUACCCUGGUAGUCCACGCUGUAAACGAUGAGUACUAGGUGUCGGGGGUUACCCCC